rnacentral:rRNA from 1 species
CUGCUGCCUUCCGUAGGAGUUUGGGCCGUGUCUCAGUCCCAAUGUGGCCGUCCACCCUCUCAGGCCGGCUACUGAUCGUCGCCUUGGUGGGCCUUUACCCCGCCAACCAGCUAAUCAGACGCGGGUCCAUCUUGCACCACCGGAGUUUUUCACACUGCCCCAUGCAGGACCGUGCGCUUAUGCGGUAUUAGCACCUAUUUCUAAGUGUUAUCCCCCAGUGCAAGGCAGGUUACCCACGCGUUACUCACCCGUCCGCCACUAAG